GACGAACGCUGGCGGCGUGCCUAAUACAUGCAAGUUGAGCGCUGAAGGUUGGUACUUGUACCAACUGGAUGAGCAGCGAACGGGUGAGUAACGCGUGGGGAAUCUGCCUUUGAGCGGGGGACAACAUUUGGAAACGAAUGCUAAUACCGCAUAAAAACUUUAAACACAAGUUUUAAGUUUGAAAGAUGCAAUUGCAUCACUCAAAGAUGAUCCCGCGUUGUAUUAGCUAGUUGGUGAGGUAAAGGCUCACCAAGGCGAUGAUACAUAGCCGACCUGAGAGGGUGGUCGGCCACAUUGGGACGGAGACACGGCCCAAACUCCUACGGGAGGCAGCAGGAGGGAAUCUUCGGCAAGGGACGAAAGUCUGACCGAGCAACGCCGCGUGAGGGAAGAAGGUUUUCGGAUCGUAAAACUCGGUUGGUAGAGAAGAACGUUGGUGAGAGUGGAAAGCUCAUCAAGUGACGGUAACUACACAGAAAGGGACGGCUAACUACGCG
rnacentral:rRNA from 1 species